rfam:Gracilibacillus kekensis strain CGMCC 1.10681 genome assembly, contig: Ga0079828_107
UAAAUCUGCUAGGGGUGCUACAGAAGUAGCUGAGAUAAGAAUGAUGUUCUUAAUCCCUUUGAACCUGAACUGGUUAACCCCAGCGUAGGAAAGUGGAGUCGGAUGGUG